rnacentral:rRNA from 1 species
GGCAGCACGGGUACUUGUACCUGGUGGCGAGCGGCGGACGGGUGAGUAAUGCCUAGGAAUCUGCCUGGUAGUGGGGGAUAACGCUCGGAAACGGACGCUAAUACCGCAUACGUCCUACGGGAGAAAGCAGGGGACCUUCGGGCCUUGCGCUAUCAGAUGAGCCUAGGUCGGAUUAGCUAGUUGGUGAGGUAAUGGCUCACCAAGGCGACGAUCCGUAACUGGUCUGAGAGGAUGAUCAGUCACACUGGAACUGAGACACGGUCCAGACUCCUACGGGAGGCAGCAGUGGGGAAUAUUGGACAAUGGGCGAAAGCCUGAUCCAGCCAUGCCGCGUGUGUGAAGAAGGUCUUCGGAUUGUAAAGCACUUUAAGUUGGGAGGAAGGGCAUUUACCUAAUACGUGAGUGUUUUGACGUUACCGACAGAAUAAGCACCGGCUAACUCUGUGCCAGCAGCCGCGGUAAUACAGAGGGUGCAAGCGUUAAUCGGAAUUACUGGGCGUAAAGCGCGCGUAGGUGGUUUGUUAAGUUGGAUGUGAAAUCCCCGGGUCUCAACCUGGGAACUGCAUCCCAAACUGGCAAGCUAGAGUAUGGUAGAGGGUGGUGGAAUUUCCUGUGUAGCGAGAAAUGCGUAGAUAUCGGAAGGACACCACUGGCGAAGGCGACCACCUGGACUGAUACUGACACUGUGGGCGAAAGCGUGGGGAGCAAACAGGAUUAGAUACCCUGGUAGUCCACGCCCUAAACGAUGUCUACUAGCCGUUGGGAGCCUUG